rnacentral:rRNA from 1 species
GGACGAACGCUGGCGGCGUGCUUAACACAUGCAAGUCGAGCGGUAAGGCCCUUUCGGGGGUACACGAGCGGCGAACGGGCGAGUAACACGUGGGUGACCUGCCCUCAGCUCUGGGAUAAGCCCGGGAACUGGGUCUAAUACCGGAUAUGACUCCAUGACGCAUGUUGUGGGGUGGAAAGCCUUGUGCGGCUGAGGAUGGGCCCGCGGCCUAUCAGCUUGUU